rnacentral:tRNA from 1 species
GGGGAUUUAGCUCAGUGGCAUAAGCACCUGCCUUGCAAGCAGGCAGUCCUGAGUUCCCU